rnacentral:rRNA from 1 species
AUUGAACGCUGGCGGAAUGCUUUACACAUGCAAGUCGAACGGUAGAGGGGGCAACCCCUCGAGAGUGGCGAACGGGCGAGUAAUAUAACGGAACGUGCCCAGUCGUGGGGGAUAACGUAGCGAAAGUUACGCUAAUACCGCAUACGCACUCAGGAUGAAAGCGGGGGAUCGCAAGACCUCGCGCGACUGGAGCGGCCGAUAUCAGAUUAGGUAAUUGGUGGGGUAAAGGCUCAGCAAGCCAACGAUCUGUAGCUGGUCUGAGAGGACGACCAGCCACACUGGAACUGAGACACGGUCCAGACUCCUACGGGAGGCAGCAGUGGGGAAUUUUGGACAAUGGACGCAAGUCUGAUCCAGCCAUUCCGCGUGCAGGAUGAAGGCCCUCGGGUUGUAAACUGCUUUUGUACGGAACGAAAAGGUCUCUCUUAAUAGUGGGGGCUCAUGACGGUACCGUAAGAAUAAGCACCGGCUAACUACGUGCCAGCAGCCGCAGUAA